rnacentral:rRNA from 1 species
UACAGAGGGGGCAAGCGUUGUUCGGAAUUACUGGGCGUAAAGGGCGCGUAGGCGGCCUGUUAAGUCGAACGUGAAAUCCCCGGGCUCAACCCGGGAACUGCGUCCGAUACUGGCAGGCUUGAAUCCGGGAGAGGGAUGCGGAAUUCCAGGUGUAGCGGUGAAAUGCGUAGAUAUCUGGAGGAACACCGGUGGCGAAGGCGGCAUCCUGGACCGACAUUGACGCUGAGGAGCGAAAGCUAGGGGAGCAAACGGG